CACUCCCUACUUUGAGUUUGUACCAAUGUCUAGCUUCUCCCGUUAAAGAGAACGGAAAGAGCUUCCAUUUAAGGGUCUCAUCGGACAUGCCUUCUAUGCGAAGGAGGUCACAGACUCGAUAAAACUCUCUUAGGUGUGUGUACGGGUUUUCCUCACCUUCUCCUGAGAAAGGUUGUUUUUGGACAAAUUCUAUGUAUUCGAGGUCUAUCUCAAAACUAGAUGCUAUGAUAGGCUUUGAAGAUUUUGAUGGUUCGAGAUGUGUGCCCGUAGGUCUAUGGAAUUCAUAGAUAGACAUGUUUGAAUUCAUGAUAGACCAGAGAUCAAGGAUUAGAUAAGGAGAAAGAAUAGCAGAGAUGAGGCAAAGGAUAAAAGGAAAUAUAUAUUAUUUUUUUAUUUUUUUUAGAAAAUGAUUAAGCUAGUUCGUAGUCAACUCAGCAACCGUUUCCCCGGCAACGGCACCAAAAAUGCUUGUUGACACUUGCUAACACCACUUGAAUACUAGGUUGUCAUCCCCAGCAUGGCACUAGAGUGUACUAUGGUAUUUAUACGCACACAGAUAAUCCGCAAGUGCACGGAUACCGUUGAAGCUUUUACCCAGUUAAAGGUUUUAUCGUAUCCACAGGGAAACAGGAGAACUGAUCUACGCUCUAACUUAACCAAGAUAAGUAAAUAGUUGUAAAUAGGAAAGAUGGUAGAAUCGAAUAAGAACAAUAUUAAAGGUAAGAUAACAAUAGGUGAUAAUAUAGGAAUGGAGAGUAGAGCAAUUCUAGUAUAUGGGCGAUGGUAGCAGAAUAGAGAGGAUAACUAUGGUUUCUCUACUUCAAAGGGGUAUGUCUAUGUCUGGGACGAACCACGUGAUAAGAGUACACCACAAAGGAUGCUUAUCCUUAGGCCGAUAAACCCUACCUGUCCUGCUAACGAGAGGUGGACUACAGAGGACCAACGUAACUGUCACCUACGCGGCCUACCACACGAUCCACCUAGACAGGGGAUAUCCACAAGUAAUCUAGAUCUAAGCACCUCGCUUACACCUAUACUACAACUCUCACCUAUAGCGUCCUAUAGAUUAGAAUACUCAAAAGAGUUGUGAACCAGAACAUACAUAAUUAGUAAUUGCAUAAUGAAUUAGAAGUAGAUUACCAGAGUCAUCCCAUGAGCAAGCUUGAUU
rnacentral:lncRNA from 1 species